rnacentral:rRNA from 1 species
UACGUAGGGUGCGAGCGUUAAUCGGAAUUACUGGGCGUAAAGCGUGCGCAGGCGGUUUGCUAAGACAGGUGUGAAAUCCCCGGGCUUAACCUGGGAACUGCGCUUGUGACUGGCAGGCUAGAGUACGGUAGAGGGGGGUGGAAUUCCUGGUGUAGCAGUGAAAUGCGUAGAUAUCAGGAGGAACACCGAUGGCGAAGGCAGUCUUCCAAGCCGUUAUUGACGCUCAACUGCAAAGGUGUGGGUAUCAAACAGGAUUAGAUACCCUGGUA